UUGGUGGCGAGUGGCGGACGGGUGAGUAACGCGUAGGAAUCUACCCAAUAGCGGGGGAUAGCCCGGGGAAACUCGGAUUAAUACCGCAUACGCCCCACGGGGGAAAGGGGGGGAUCGCAAGACCUCUCACUAUUAGAGCGGCCGAUAUCGGAUUAGCUAGUUGGUGAGGUAAAGGCUCACCAAGGCGACGAUCCGUAGCUGGUUUGAGAGGACGACCAGCCACACUGGGACUGAGACACGGUCCAGACUCC
rnacentral:rRNA from 1 species